rnacentral:lncRNA from 1 species
CUCCCUCACCAACCAACCAACCGGCCUCUCCCCCGAGGAAUUCUACACUGUCACACUUACACCACGUCAUUAAUAAUAAAUCAAUCACAUUCAUUCUUUUUAAACAAAAGUAUAAUAAAAAUAUUUUUUUAUAAUUAUGAUGAGACAUAUAUUCUUAAAAGAAUUAAUUUGAUUGUUUUGUUACGUCACGUCACUAAUAUAUCCGUUGCAUUCUAGAAUUUUUCCUCACCCCCGGCCCACGUCAA